rnacentral:rRNA from 1 species
CCUACGGGUGGCUGCAGUGGGGAAUCUUGGACAAUGGGCGCAAGCCUGAUCCAGCCAUGCCGCGUGGAUGAUGAAGGCCCUAGGGUUGUAAAAUCCUUUCGUUGGGGACGAUAAUGACGGUACCCAAAGAAGAAGCUCCGGCUAACUUCGUGCCAGCAGCCGCGGUAAUACGAAGGGGGCUAGCGUUGUUCGGAUUUACUGGGCGUAAAGCGCGUGUAGGCGGACUUGUAAGUUGGGGGUGAAAUCCCGAGGCUCAACCUCGGAACUGCCUCCAAAACUACAAGUCUGGAGCAAGAUAGAGGCAAGUGGAAUUGCGAGUGUAGAGGUGAAAUUCGUAGAUAUUCGCAGGAACACCAGUGGCGAAGGCGACUUGCUGGAUCUUUGCUGACGCUGAGACGCGAAAGCGUGGGGAGCAAACAGGAUUAGAUACCCUAGUAGUC